UACGUAGGGGGCUAGCGUUGUCCGGAUUUACUGGGCGUAAAGCGUGCGUAGGUGGUUCGUUAAGUCUGAUGUGAAAGCCCUGGGCUCAACCUGGGAAUGGCAUUGGAAACUGGCGACCUAGAGUGCGGUAGAGGGCAGUGGAAUUCCCGGUGUAGCAGUGAAAUGCGUAGAGAUCGGGAGGAACAUCUGUGGCGAAGGCGACUGCCUGGACCAGCACUGACACUGAGACACGAAAGCGUGGGGAGCAAACAGG
rnacentral:rRNA from 1 species